rnacentral:ncRNA from 1 species
UUUAUGAAUCUUAAUCAAUGAUGAGAAUAAGUGGAAUUUUCUAUUUAAUAGUCCUAAUCCACCAGUGAGAUACCACUCUGGAAGAGCUAGAAUUCUAACCCUGCAUCAAGACCUAUGGGCUAAGGGACAGUCUCAGGUAGAUAGUUUCUAUGGGGUGUAUACCUCCAAAAAGGUAAUGGAUGUGUGCAAAGGUUUCCUUAGGCCUGAUGAAAAUUGGCCCUCGAGUGCAAAGGAAAAAGGGAUCUUGACUGCAAGACCCACCUAUUGAGUACAGAUGAAAGUCGCGCUUAGUGAUCAAAUGAUGUUAAGUGAAGGGUUCAUCAAUCAAGGAUAAACGAUACUCUAGGGAUAGUAUAGUGAUCUUCAAAAAGAGUUUGGUAAGGUUUGUCACCUCAAUGUUGGAUCUUCACCACCUAAGUCAAUAGUACAUUCCAAGGGUUGGGUUUUUUUUCCCAUUAAAGAACUACGCGAUUUGGGUUCAGAAAAUUGUGAGAUAGUUUGGCC